ACCGAACUGCGCCGGGCCGGGGCCGCCGGGACCCCCGGCCCGGGACCGUCAGCCCCGUGCGGAGGCAGCGACCGCCAGCGCUGCCGGUGCUUUGCUGUGAGGCACCGACACACACGACAAGAAACUGACAGUAUUUUAAAACUUACAGGAUUUGCCGAGUGUCGCGUUCUGUUUGAUUUUGGCAGCUAUCUCACGGUGAAUGAAACCUGGUGUCACCAAUUUCCACUCACAAAAUGGAGCUACAGAAUCCUGCAUUCUGAAGACUGAAGAAACAAAGCAGUGAGGAAGCAACCAACAUAAUUCUUACAAAAAGAGGACUUAGAAAAUGCCCAUUUACAAAAGGAUGUAGAGAUGCUUCACCAGGAUGUCCGCACAGGACCAACCUCUCCACAGACAGGGACAGUGCCUGAAUGAAGAAAGACAUCAAGACCCAAAGUCCAUUUAUAAAACAGUUGAAAAAGAAGAAUGGAAAAGAAGAGAAUAAGAAUGGAGUCGAUAAUUGAAAGCAUAAAAAGAAGCUCUAACGAGGUAGAAAGCUCCUGAAAAU